rnacentral:rRNA from 1 species
UACGUAGGUGGCAAGCGUUGUCCGGAAUCACUGGGCGUAAAGCGCGCGCAGGCGGCGAUCUACGUCUGGGGUGAAAGCCCGGAGCUCAACUCCGGGACUGCCUUGGAUACGGGAUCGCUUGAGGAUUGGAGAGGCAAGUGGAAUUCCACGUGUAGCGGUGAAAUGCGUAGAGAUGUGGAGGAACACCUGUGGCGAAGGCGCCUUGCUGGCCAAUUACUGACGCUGAGGCGCGAAAGCGUGGGGAGCAAACAGG